AUGUACCACCAGGGUGCUCCAUCCACAUUCACGAGAAGGGUGCGCUGCCCCCUGUACCCUGCGAGGUAUAUAGCCAUCCUUCCACCACUCCCUGACACCAGCAUACACGACGGCUUCGCAUACUACGAAUAUGACAUCGUCCCCAGUGUCAGCGGCGAUGGCUACUUCUAUUUGGCCCUAGGGUGUAAAGAGGAGCAGUCAGUUUUGGAUGUCUAUGUGUUACAGGGCGAUAUCUGGGCCAUAUACUGUUCGGCUGUAACUGACAUCUACCAAAUUGAACUGUUAUCUACUAGUUUGAUUGUUCAUGACAAAAUCUAUAAUCUGGCCAACGCGAGCGGCAUUUAUAAGUUAGUCUCGCUAGAUCUUGCAUCAUCAAGCUUGUCGAUCGUUAACCUCCCGGGAGAGGUGGACUAUACGAGCACAGAUCUGUCGCUUGCAAAUGAUUCCGGUGUCCAUCUGAUCCAUGUAAAAGGAUCCCAGCUUCGCAUCUGGCGCUACAUGGUGGAUAAGAAGGGCCUCGCCAACUGUUACUUGUAG
rnacentral:rRNA from 1 species